GUGUUUGUGGUGUAGCGGUUAUCACGUCCGCUUUACACGCGGAAGGUCUCAGGUUCGAUCCCUGACAGACACA
rnacentral:tRNA from 1 species